UUCCGUGCUAUGUACACGAAGCGACGGCUAUAUGAGAGUGAGCCCUUUGCUUCACAGUGAUAGCCUGAUAUAUGGUCAGCAUUCGUUUUUUUUUCUUUUUUAAGCAAAUUAAAGUUUGCAUAGAGGUUGAGAAGAAAUCUUCCCUCCCACGGGUACGACCUUGUCGUGGUGGGAGGGCUCAGUACCCCGAGGGCUUGAAUGCCUGUGGGGGAAGCUAACUGUACCCAUUGCACUUAUUAAGUUUGUUUUUUAUUCCUGCACUGCUACACUAGUGCAAUAAGUAAGAACGAGAAAAAAGAUAUUUGUCUUAUUCUAACUUAUUGCACCAGUGCAGCAGUGCAAGAAUAAAAAACAAACCUAUUACGUCGUUGAUCGUAAAAUUGUGAUUCGUCGCGCCGUGUUAACGCGGUUCGGGAGUGCCGACCAAUUGAAUUGAAAACGAACCGUAGCCGGCUCGUCGUGUCGCGCGUUUGCUUCGGGAGUGUCGUUCAAGUAAAUGGACUAAAAGGGCUGUCUAAUUAGUUCUACGCGCGAUAGUAUAUCGUAGUAUAUUCGGUUAUUCGCGAGUGUCCUGUGCAACGAGAGGAGGAGGAGGCCUGGGAAAGGCAUUGGGCCCCGGCAGAGCAACUUUGGGAAUCAUCGUAGCGACGUUGCUGAAUAUCUCUGCCGCUGCGCAUCGAUCGGUGAGUGAUGAAUAAACUUUUAAAAUUGGAGUAAUAGAUCUGUGACAAAAUUGUACUUUAUAUAUAAUGUAGAAAUGUUUGCUAUAAUGCUGCAAUAAUAAAUAACAUUUAGAUAUCAUAUUUAUUUCAUGGAUCUAUUGCUUUAAAGUGGAUUGACUAAAACAGAUCAGAGGAUUUAACUUUUAAUCCUGAAUGAAUGAUAUACAUUAACUUAUCAUGCAUAUUUAAUUUAUUAAAUAAUUUUUUUUCGACGCCGUCGCAGUCUCGGCGAGGGUUAGGUAUGUGUUCAACAUCAUCAAAUAUAAAUUACAAGUAUAAUAAAAAAUAUAUAAUGUAUCUUGCACGUAUGCGCACAAUUAGAAACUGCGCGCCGUUUCGUCUCUGAUAAAUUCCGUCAAA